ANUACAUUGGAAACAAGAUGCUAAUACCGGAUAAAAGACUACUUUCGCAUGAAAGAAGUUUAAAAGGCGGCGUAAGCUGUCGCUAAAGGAUGGACCUGCGAUGCAUUAGCUAGUUGGUAAGGUAACGGCUUACCAAGGCGAUGAUGCAUAGCCGAGUUGAGAGACUGAUCGGCCACAUUGGGACUGAGACACGGCCCAAAACUCCUACGGGAGGCAGCAGCC
rnacentral:rRNA from 1 species